UACGUAGGGUGCGAGCGUUGUCCGGAAUUAUUGGGCGUAAAGAGCUCGUAGGCGGUCUGUCGCGUCGGUCGUGAAAACUUGGGGCUUAACCCUGAGCUUGCGGUCGAUACGGGCAUGACUGGAGUUCGGCAGGGGAGACUGGAAUUCCUGGUGUAGCGGUGAAAUGCGCAGAUAUCGGGAAGAACACCCGUGGCGAAGGCGGCUCUCUGGGACGGUACUGACGCUGAGACGCGAAAGCGUGGGGAGCGAACAGG
rnacentral:rRNA from 1 species